AUCUUUCCAUCCAUGGGUCGUGGGUUCCCAGGUGACGUCGGUACAAGGAGAUAUGAACGUUUUAAGGCAGAAAGGUCAGUGGGCUAGGCCCAAUCCGAGCCCAACCGGGUUAGGCCCAUUACCCAUGUCCUUAUAAGUGCCAAUUUCGGCCUUCUUCAUCAUUUUAACACCAGGAACAACCAGAAAAUUCUGGAAAAAGAGAGAGGAGCUUUGGAGAGAAAAAAAAAAAACAAUUUUGACCAAAAUCCGAGCCCCGAAUCCCGAAGCCCAUGAAGGGAAAAGUGUUGUACGCUACGUUGUCUUCAAUUUGAGCUAAAAAUCAACCAAAGAGGAGAGUGAUGACGUGGUGGCUGCCUACUUAAGGUUUUGGACGAAACGAGAUUUGAGUUUUGGCAAGCGUAAAGGGCAAGAAAGGUACCGACGACAGGUUUGCUGAUCCGUCCGCUUAGGAUCUUAUUCUCCUAUUUUGGAGCGCUCUCUUAUCCAGAGCCCAUCUUUUGGUAUAGUCUGUCACUACUGUAUAUAUAUAUUCUCGUUCAUGGGUACAGCGGGGCCCUGUCCCGUCAUAUGAUUAUGUCGGUCUGUUUAGAGGUCUGUGGACAUGUUUGUGGGUUAGGGUCUUUCUGUAUGGAUGUAUGUACAUGUCGUUUGGGCGAUCCCAUACGCCGAGGCGGCCGGUCCGCGUAUGUUUAUAUAUUGCUUGGUUAGCCCUGUGUGGCUUUUGUUGGUAUUUUCUGCGUGCAGGGUAUAUUGGAUAGUCCGUAAAACAAAGGAAACUCUGUCGAAAUUUUUCUGGAAAUUACCUAAAUUUGAAAUAAAGCCUUGUCGGCUUCCGCCAUAUACUAGAAUGAGUUGAUAGAAUUUGAGAUAAUAUUUGAUAGAUGGGUUCGGGUGCCCAGAUCGGGCACUAGUCACGGCCGACGGGGUUGGGUCGUGACAGUUAUGUACAAUAGACCCUUGUGGUCCGGCCCUUUUCCGGACCCCGCGCAUAGCAGGAGCUUAGUGCACCGGGCUGCCCUUUUCAUGUAUGCACGUAUGCAUUUUAAUUUUAA